rnacentral:rRNA from 1 species
GUAGUCCAUGCCGUAAACGUUGGGCACUAGGUGUGGGGGACAUUCCACGUUUUCCGCGCCGUAGCUAACGCAUUAAGUGCCCCGCCUGGGGAGUACGGCCGCAAGGCUAAAACUCAAAGGAAUUGACGGGGGCCCGCACAAGCGGCGGAGCAUGCGGAUUAAUUCGAUGCAACGCGAAGAACCUUACCAAGGCUUGACAUGAACCGGUAAGACCUGGAAACAGGUCCCCCGCUUGCGGUCGGUUUACAGGUGGUGCAUGGUUGUCGUCAGCUCGUGUCGUGAGAUGUUGGGUUAAGUCCCGCAACGAGCGCAACCCUCGUUCUAUGUUGCCAGCACGUGAUGGUGGGGACUCAUAGGAGACUGCCGGGGUCAACUCGGA